ensembl:miRNA
UAUUAGUUUGGUGCAAAAGUAAUUGCGGUUUUUGCCAUUACUUUCAAUGGUGAAAACCGCAAUUACUUUUGCACCAACCUAUAC